rnacentral:tRNA from 1 species
GAGUCUGACUGGGGAAGCGAGAACUGCUAAUUACUCGUCACCAGGGUUCAAUUCCCUGGCAAACUCA